rnacentral:rRNA from 1 species
UAGUUCGUGGAGUGAUCUGUCUGCUUAAUUGCGUUUCAAAUGUAUUUUUGAUUUAUCAAACGAGUCUACGAAGGACCUAUUCAUACAAGCACUUCAUUUAUGAUUUGUUUGGAAUUUGGUUCUUUCGGCUCAAUUGAACGCAACGGACGUGAUUGCAAGUCCUUGUUGAACUUCUGUAUAUAUCAUUUACAUUCUUAACUGAGUGUAUCUAAGAUAAUAGAGUUCGCUUUCUAUUGGUGACGGGAUCUCCUCAUUCGUGGAGUGAUCUAAUCCUCUAGGAAAACUCGGGCGACCGCUGUAAUACUUUCUUUUUAAAACAGAGGAAGAUUGCGGCAAUAACAGGUCUGUGAUGCCCUCAGAUGUCCCGGGCCGCACACGUGCUACAUUGAUUAGCGCAGUGCGCAUACUUUCAAUAUGAUACAUUGGUUUUGGUAGUAAGCUAUUCAUCUGAUGGAUAUGCUACUCUCCAUACCAAUACUAUCUAGUCUGAAAAGACUGGGUAAUCUAUUGUAAGUGCUGGUUCCUCUUCCCGUUGAGCAUUUUAAUAAUGGUCUCUCUACGUCCCUAGUAUAUUCUAGUGCGAUUGUAGUUGAGUCUGCCAUUUAUGCAAGUGUCAAUUCUCAGU